rnacentral:lncRNA from 13 species
GAGGAUCUGGAAGGCUUCACACCUGAUUUUGCCAGUGCCUCCCUUGACUGAGGAUCCAGAUGGAACACGCAGGCAGCAGGAGAACCUCCUCCCUCCUGGCAAGUCUGUGAGCUGGGUGCCAGCGUGGAUCCAUCAGCACCAGCAGGGCUCAAGGCAGCACGGUUUUGGCUUUGAAUCGCUUCUGCAAAUCCAUCCCCUUGGUCAGGCCAGGGAGGGGACAGGCACAGAGGGACCUCCUUGGGCUGACAGCUUGUGCUGUCCCUUGAGACAGCAAAAGGUUUCCAAGUUUCCUCCUAACUUGUGUGAUCUCAGAGCAGGAACCAGAGGGAUUAUUUUGGUUUCAGUGAUGCUUACUAGAAAGGAGGAAGGACACUCCUGACCUGCUGCAGGCUCUGGACUGCACUGCUGGGACUCGCAGCACCCAAGCAGUUGCCUGGACUGUCAGAACACGUGACAGUACUUUGCCCAUGGGCUGGUUCUGUACAUUUAUUUCUUUUUUUAUACGGCAGUUUUGUGUGUUUAUUACUCAGCCUGGAGCUGCUUCAAUAAAUCUGAAUAAAAUCCACUGUGUCCAUUGCCUGCUCUGUGUGCUUAAGGUGCAGGUUUUCCCAGCCCACUCUUGAGACCGUAUUUAGUAGGACAGUGAGGAGCAUUCCCUGCUUGAGUCCAAAUCGAGGGCUCAGAUCUUCCUGUAUCUUUGUAACUAGGGACUGAGGAAAGCUCAGAUCUCACACCGCCUUCUAGCUUUGAAGGAGACACAAAUCUCUUCAAAACUUUAAAGAUUAAGGUAUUCUCUGCCCUUACCUGGUCACUCUCCAUGGAGUUGGGUUUCCUCACUAUCCAAAAAAAUGGGAUAAAGUGCUGGCCCUUCUGUCCCAAAGGGCUGUGUGCUCCAGGCCCUGCUCCAGGUGAGGGGAGGCAGUGCCUGGGAAAGAAAAGCUCUGUUAUAGGGCAGAGGUGAGACAGGAACCAGCAUGGUCAGAGGAAACAGGCACCAAAGGUACAACCAACUGUCUCACCACAGAAGCAUGGUUUGGGUGUGAUCCAUUGCUUCAGAAUUA